AUACGUAGGGGGCUAGCGUUAUCCGGAAUUACUGGGCGUAAAGGGUGCGUAGGUGGUUUCUUAAGUCAGAAGUGAAAGGCUACGGCUCAACCGUAGUAAGCUUUUGAAACUAAGAGACUUGAGUGCAGGAGAGGAGAGUAGAAUUCCUAGUGUAGCGGUGAAAUGCGUAGAUAUUAGGAGGAAUACCAGUUGCGAAGGCGGCUCUCUGGACUGUAACUGACACUGAGGCACGAAAGCGUGGGGAGCAAACAGGAUUAGAUACCCUGGUAGUCCACGCCGUAAACGAUGAGUACUAGCUGUCGGGGGUUACCCCCCUCGGUGGCGCAGCUAACGCAUUAAGUACUCCGCCUGGGAAGUACGCUCGCAAGAGUGAAACUCAAAUGAAUGGACGGGG
rnacentral:rRNA from 1 species